UAAGAGCUCAGAUGUCCAAAAAAUGUUGUUAAUCACAGCUAAUUUGUGUAAAACAUGGCAACACUGUAAAACACUGGAAUCCACCCACUUCCCUGUCAUGUUCGAUCAUGUUCAGGGUGUGGGAAAACAGCUCCAGCCUUUCAGUUUAGGAGAAGCAGCCGGAGAUCAGUAUGGGUUUAGGGUGUGUGAACCUGCUGCUGGUGCUGACGGGUAUUUUAUACGUGGCUAAUGCAGAUCCCUAUUCCGUGAAGCCUUCAGUAGCUCAGGCAGUGGUGAACCGCCCCUUUAAACUCACGUGUGAUGGCGCCACUCCAGCAGUCACUAUAAUCUGGCUUAUGGAUGGAGAACCUCUUACCCUAAACUCCAGGAUGAGACUGUCGCCGGACAACAUCACGCUGUCCUUCAGAUUCCUGCAGGAGAGCGACAGCAAACAGUUCCAGUGCCGGGUCCUUAAUGGAAGCGCCAGCAUCAUAAGCAAGGAUUACUGGAUUGACUUUCACAAUUAAAGGGUGAUUACGGCGAGGCCAAGCCAGACUGUAGUGGGCAUUGAAAGUGUGUUCACCUGCACAGCUCAGUGCGGGGUGUUCUGCACUGGGCAGUGGGUGCCGCCCAGCGGCUUUCCCAAAGGCAAAUUCUUAGCAGAGGGACCCAACAUAUACUGGACUCCCUCUGAAGCCGGACAGACCCAGGUCUUCACCUGCCUUGCACUGAACCCGUCACUGGAGAUGCUGCAAAAUAGCUCCAUAACCGUGACUGUUAUGGGUGAGUAUAAGGGCUGCGUCCCAAUUGCAUACUGAUAAGUAAAUUAAGUUUUUGUUUGAGUAUGUCGCAUGUAGUAUGGAAAAAAGUGUCAAACUGUACACCAUGUACACUCUAAAAAAGUGAUUUUGUGUUUUAGUCAGGAGAACUUAUAUUUUAUAUAAAAACUGCUUGUUGAUCCAAUGAAAAAAUGUGAUUAGAGUCAGUGCUCUUUCCACAGUGUUAAAUGGCGACUAAGUUUGAGAUUUAAAUUCCAGAUUUGAGUUUGAGAUUUAAAUUCCAGAUUUGAGUUUGAGAUUUAAAUUCCAGAUUUGAGUUUGAGAUUUAAGUUCCAGAUUUGAGUUUGAGAUUUAAAUUCCAGAUUUGAGUUUGAAAUUUAAAUUCCAGAUUUGA
rnacentral:lncRNA from 1 species